UUCCAGACUCCUACGGGAGGCAGCAGUGAGGAAUAUUGGUCAAUGGGAGAGAUCCUGAACCAGCCAAGCCGCGUGAGGGAAGACGGCCCUAUGGGUUGUAAACCUCUUUUGUCGGAGAGCAAUUGGCGCUACGUGUAGCGUUAUCGAGAGUACCUGAAGAAAAAGCAUCGGCUAACUCCGUGCCAGUAGCCGCGGUAAUACGGAGGAUGCGAGCGUUAUCCGGAUUUAUUGGGUUUAAAGGGUGCGCAGGCGGAGGUGCAAGUCAGCGGUCAAAUUGCGGGGCUCAACCCCGUACUGCCGUUGAAACUGCAUCCCUUGAGUGCGCGAGAAGUAUGCGGAAUGCGUGGUGUAGCGGUGAAAUGCAUAGAUAUCACGCAGAACUCCGAUUGCGAAGGCAGCAUACCGGCGCGCAACUGACGCUCAUGCACGAAAGCGUGGGUAUCGAACAGGAUUAGAUACCCCAGUA
rnacentral:rRNA from 1 species